UCAUAGAUGGCGCAAUGGUAGCGCGCGAGACUUCUAAUCUCGAGGCUGUGGGUUCGAGUCCCACUUGGAGUG
rnacentral:tRNA from 1 species